UACGAAGGGGGGCUAGCGUUGUUCGGAAUUACUGGGCGUAAAGCGCGCGCAGGUGGUCUUUCAAGUCAGUGGUGAAAGCCCGGAGCUCAACUCCGGAAAUGCCAUUGAAACUGUAAGACUUGAGGAUGAGAGAGGUGAGUGGAAUUCCCAGUGUAGAGGUGAAAUUCGUAGAUAUUCGGAAGAACACCAGUGGCGAAGGCGACUCACUGGCCCGUUACUGACGCUGAGGCGCGAAAGCGUGGGGAGCAAACAGG
rnacentral:rRNA from 1 species